UUUUAAAACGUUAUUGCCUAUAUAUUUACCAUAAUAAGGUUGGUAAGUUUCUACCCGGAACCGUAAACUUCGGACUAUAAGCAAAAAGAUAAUU
rnacentral:ncRNA from 1 species